AUUGAACGCUGGCGGCAGGCCUAACACAUGCAAGUCGAGCGGAUGAAGGGAGCUUGCUCCUGGAUUCAGCGGCGGACGGGUGAGUAAUGCCUAGGAAUCUGCCUGGUAGUGGGGGAUAACGUCCGGAAACGGGCGCUAAUACCGCAUACGUCCUGAGGGAGAAAGUGGGGGAUCCUCGGACCUCACGCUAUCAGAUGAGCCUAGGUCGGAUUAGCUAGUUGGUGGGGUAAAGGCCUACCAAGGCGACGAUCCGUAACUGGUCUGAGAGGAUGAUCAGUCACACUGGAACUGAGACACGGUCCAGACUCCUACGGGGGGCAGCAGUGGGGAAUAUUGGACAAUGGGCGAAAGCCUGAUCCAGCCAUGCCGCGUGUGUGAAGAAGGUCUUCGGAUUGUAAAGCACUUUAAGUUGGGAGGAAGGGCAGUAAGUUAAUACCUUGCUGUUUUGACGUUACCAACAGAAUAAGCACCGGCUAACUUCGUG
rnacentral:rRNA from 1 species